UGCCGCGUGAGUGAUGAAGGCCUUAGGGUUGUAAAGCUCUUUCAGUGGGGAAGAUAAUGACGGUACCCACAGAAGAAGCCCCGGCUAACUUCGUGCCAGCAGCCGCGGUAAUACGAAGGGGGCUAGCGUUGUUCGGAUUUACUGGGCGUAAAGCGCACGUAGGCGGAUUGUUAAGUCAGGGGUGAAAUCCUGGAGCUCAACUCCAGAACUGCCUUUGAUACUGGCAAUCUCGAGUCCGGAAGAGGUAAGUGGAACUCCUAGUGUAGAGGUGGAAUUCGUAGAUAUUAGGAAGAACACCAGUGGCGAAGGCGGCUUACUGGUCCGGUACUGACGCUGAGGUGCGAAAGCGUGGGGAGCAAACAGGAUUAGAUANNCUGGUAGUCCACGCCGUAAACUAUGAGAGCUAGCCGUUGGGACGUUUACGUCUCAGUGGCGCAGCUAACGCAUUAAGCUCUCCGCCUGGGGA
rnacentral:rRNA from 1 species